GUCAAGGCCGCUGAUUGGCCGCGCGGUACCUGCAAUGCGUCAAGUGAGGAUGCUGGGGUGCGCGUGCCAGCGCGCUGCCGGGGGGCGGCCGCGGCCCCGCCGGGAAUGGCCGCAGCCCCGGCAGCCCCGGCAGCCCCGGCGCCCUCGGCCCCUCUGGGCAGCAUCAGCAGUCCCAGCGGAAGAUUUGCAGUCUCUUCGUACCGCUGCAGCUUGCAGCAAUAGCAAGUUGCUUUGCUGAUGAGCCAGAAGUGGCAGGAAGAAGCUGUUCCUCAGUCAGUGACCUCUUCAGAGCAGGGUUUCUACGUGAAAAAGCGGCAGGAAGACAAAAAGCCGCUUUUCUCAGCCCUUUUCCACAGCACAGGUGCAAAGCGUGGCAGAGCAGACCCGCUCAGGCUGCCCUUGCCCUGCCCGUGCGAGAAGCGAGCGCUGCUGCGGCGGCAGCCGGGCCCGGUGUGCGCGGCCCAGCCGUGAGCGGGCGCUGCAGCAGCCGGCCGAAACCCUGCAGAGUCUUUCAACACAAAAGAGGCGCUUCUGCACAACCAGCCCUGAGCUGGGAAGCCGUGCCGAGGCACGCCAGGUCGGUCUGAUCCAUGUGGGGAUGGUUGCCCCCUUGGGCCUGGCCAGAACCCAGUACAGCCCUGUUGCGUAAGGAGCUGCAGAGAUGCCUUAGCCACUUGUGUGGGGUUUUUUUGUAUGUUUCUAAUUGGAAAAGGAGCUGCAGAGAUGUCAUAAGCGCUUGUGUGGGGUUUUUUGUAUGUCCCUAAUUGAAAUAAGCACAGAUAAACCAGAAGCAAUGAAAGUCGUCUCUGCACCAGUAAGAAGCUUACAGGACCGCUUUAAAAACGACGGGGGUUUCAAAACAGCAAGAACUUCCUGGCAGAUCUGUGAAGCUUGAUACAAUAAGUGUCUAAAGGUGAAAAUGAUUCUUCAGGAAGACCUUAUUACUUUGCUUUUGAAAAGUUUGAGCUAAAGGUUUUACAGUUUCAGACAGAUAUUAGCUCCAAAACAGCAGGGAGAUCAUAGGAAGCUCAGACGUUGCUAUGUAGAAAAUACUGUUCUGCAUCAGACUGAAGACCAGACUGGGUCAGUAUCUUUCUACAUCUGUGGCAAGAUGAGGUCCUUGAAUGAAUUACUUGCUGCUGGUAAGAGGAAUCAGUCCAUCCCCAUGAAGGAUUGUACUCUAGCAGUAAAAUAUUUUCUUAACUUUGAAGCAUGACUUGUUAAAAGGCUUCCAGAAUUACUGUGAACAACCACAGCUCCAAGUACUUUGGUAUUCAUGUACAUUUUAGAACUAACUCAGUUCUUGACCUUGGUGGAUUUCUGUAGCAAUAUGUUUCACCAUGCAAUUACUUAUUGAUUUGGCAAACAGUAAUCAAGCACAUUCUUUCUUCUACAAAAAUGAUGCAAGAUUUUAUUACCAUUACAAAAGAGGAAACAUUUCAGCUCUCUUGUUUUGUCUGAGAAACUGGCAUACAGCAAACUGCCUUCAGCUGGCUGUAUCUUUUAGAUCAGAUUAUCUUUAAAUGUCAUAUUGGGAUUCUGGUGUAAAUUUGCAAUAUCAACAUGUCUUAGGGUGGGUUCUACCUUAGUGUUUUACUGAAACAUAAUGUUUUCUGGGUUUUUUAAUAAUUCAAACCAUUUUCAUCUAGUUAUUUUCAGCUUUCAUAAUUGUGUGUAUUUUUUUACCUUCAUGCAUAAAUCAAUGAGUAUCAUUUAAUCUAACAUUUGGUUUACUUCUGUUUAACAAUAAAAGCCUGUACAGAUGGCUGCAAAACAGAACCCUCAGACACAGUUGGAUUUGUACAUUUGUGCUGAUUUAUUGCUUGAGGGAACUCACUUCAGCAUGCUGUACUGCCAGAUCCAUCCCUGCAGUAAUUCUGUUGGCUUCAGUGGAUGGCCCCAUGGGAUCACCUGUGCUAGCUGGCUAAGCUGAGAGAUUCUGUACAAUUCCAAAGAGAUCUGCUUGACAAUAUGAAAAAAUGAAGUCUGAAGAGCGUGCUAACUGUGUUGGGCUUUGGAUAGUUCAACUGUUUUGUUCAAAGUAGGGGCCAUGAGAGCCUCUUUCCAUUCAGAGACCACAAUAAAUAAUUACAGUUUUGAUUUACAUAAUUGGCAGCAGAAAAUAUUGUGCUCACCCUGGGUACUGUGUAGGUGCAGACAAUAGGAGGGUCAAAGAUUCAGCUGAUUUUCUGAGGAUUUAGAAAUAAUUUCGGAACUGAGGAAGUAAUUUGGAACUUGCUCUAAUUGUGUCUGUGUGACAUCAGAAAUGCUGGAAGGAAGAUCUUUUAGAAUGCAGCUGCCUACAAAAAGUCUGGGAACCACAGGCAAAUAAAUUGUUCCUAUUCAUGUGAAUUUCUUUGUGCUCCAUAAAUCAAGUUGUAAUGUCCAUUAUUCCUAAAAUUAAGGAUCAUAUCACUUUUCAUCAAUUUCUUUUCCUAAUGCAAAAACCCUUAAAGAUGUAGAAUUCUGAGCAACUCUGGGGGCUAAAAGGAAUUGACACUCUGACAGAAUAUAAUAUUCCACAAGAUUGCAACAUAAGAACAGGCCAACAGCUUGUUUGGCUUUGUUUGGUAUUGCUUAUGCAGGACAGGCAAAACACACAGAACUGCAAGUCCUAAAGCUAGCUUGUUUUUAUGGAGUUGUGCACCUUAUCUGAAUAUAUGCAAAGUAUGAAAAUAAUUAGUUGUGAAUUUUUGAUCAUCCAUUAAACUGGAAUAGUGAUUACAUUAAAGUAAAAUUACUUGUGCUCACUUGUAAAUUGGCUUGCUUUUCUAUGGGAAACAAUGUUCUUUCAAAAUAAUCCAAAAUGGUAAGCACUUCUAUGGUGCAAUGCAAAUAAAACAGAAUAAUCAGCUACAAAAAAAUGCUAUGCAGAACUAAAAUGUACUUCCACACUGAGAGGUGAUCAUAGUUUGUAGGAAACAACUGUGCUUGUAAACAGUGUUAGCACUGUAACAAACAACCAAGAAAGAAUCACCUUAUGACUUCAGCUGAAUCCUCAGGGUCAUGCAGCUCAGUUGGGCUGGAGCUGACCCAAACAUGGAACACUUCUCAACACCCUACUCCUCCUAAUUGUAAUGUUCCCCAUUUUCUUUUGCAAGUAAUACUUUAUAGUGUAAAUACCUCACUGCUGGUGUCACCUAUGACAUUUUGGCCUUUUCAUUCUUCCCAUACUUUCCUCCAGAAACUGGCCAGGACUCUUGCUGUUGAUGUUUCAAUGCUCUCUCCCCAGUUGCCUGUGGGAGUUUGUCGGGUCAGAUAUCCAAAGCGGAUCCGUGUGUGUGUAUCGUAUUCACCUGACCUGAAAGGCCUCCCACAAUCCUGCCUGCUGGGGAUCAUUUCCACAUGAAGGCGCCUGCGGCUGGCCUGGAGCCCAGCGAGGUUUGAGCUGCUCCUGAGGGGAAGCAAUGUGGUGUGACUGCAGCACGCUGUCUGUCACUCCUGGUUCUGGGAACACGGUGAGGAAGAACUUCAGCUGUUUUUUCACAGAGGCCACUUUGGUUUGACAGAAUUUAUGAUCUCUGGCUCUGCAGGAAGGUGCAUGCAUUGUUCCCAAGCCAGACAUAGUCUUGCAAGAGAUGUUUGUACAGUCAUGGGCUUCAGCUAAUACCUAUGCUGGAGGCAGGGUGGUUGAUUUUACAUUUGUGGCACAGAAAAUCUGCAGUGAAGAUAAACUAAUCAUAGAUAAUUGAGAAUUGGCUCGAUGGGUGUUACAAUCCUGCUCUUAAUUUUGAUCUAGCACAGGCUGUUUUUUGCUGCUGUCCAGGCACCACUAUCAGCAUGAGAUAUUCCUGCUUCCCUGCUCCUGUUCCCUGUUCUGCCUGUGGCAUGCCAGCCAUGCAGUUGUGCUAGCAACUGAAUGUGCUAGUGAUUAUCACAAUCAAUAAUUCUUUUUUAACUCCAGUCAGUUCCUUGACUUAGACUGGCAACUUUUUAAUGAACCUUAGUUAAGAAGCCCUGCAAGCAAUUUUGUUGGUGCAGAUGAGGGGCACAGGGGUAUUAAGAAGGUUUUAAGCUACUACUGACAUUUUUUAUCAUGAAACAGUAGCCACAGUUCAGCUGUAUUUCUGUAAUUUCAUUAAUUUUAUUAACUAUACCAUUGUAAAUUAGGAGUAAUCUCAAAUAAAACAAUGCUUUCGCAAUCACCAAACAUGUUUUGAGAAGGUGAAAUAAUUUUUAAAAAAAGAAAAAUUAUGGUAGUUAGUUGGAGAUUUGAGAGAAGAUUUUUCUCCCUUGCAAAUAAAAUAAUUUAGGAAUGCCAUCAAUAAAUAAAAUUAUUUGAUUUCAGCACAUGACAACAGGAUUAUCUUCCAUUUAGUACUGAACCACAACGUAGAAAACUGCAGGGUUACAGAAUUAAAAAUCACACACAGCACUCUCUGAAAACUCGAUUGCUUCACUGAGCCAUGUACCACUGGGCACUUCAUGGCUUGCUGGGAAUGAGAAGCAACAGAGCCUUGGAUUUGCCAGCCAUCCUGACAUUUGCCAGUCAUCGACUUCACCAAAGGAAAGGCUACAAAUAAAGUUGCUGCAGGGGCCCUCUGUCCCAGAGCUGGGUGUGUGGGGCCAGACAGUGCAGAGGAAUAAAUGACUUGUCCUUGGAGCUGCCUCUGUCACGCCACCCUGCUUGGCAGGGGGGAAAUGGACAGGGUGAAGGGAGGCUGAUGACCAUCAGGCUUCAGAAAUCCCUUCUAGGAGUGCCAUCUGAUGGGUCUAGCUGUGCUUUUUGUUGAGAGGGUGAGAAUCCUUGUGUGCAGAAAACAUCACUGCACAAAGGAAACAAAUCCAAACAAAGGUAAUAAAUGCAGAGCAGGCACUUUGACAAGGAGCAAACAGAUUCCCUUUUGACAAGCAAAGGAACUGAUGACUGUCAAGCUCUUUUCUUGACAGGAAAAAAAGAUGCCAGAAUCUGCUGCUGGAGAAAUCUCCCACCCCAUCUGACUAUCAAAACACAGCUGGCAACCCCAGGGAAGAAGAUCCCUGAACAACAGGGAAGAACAACACAUGAAAAUACUCUAUUUCUUUUGACUUGAGAAAAACAAAUUCUAUCACCAGAAAACUCUCUUUGGCUACAGCUAUUAAUUAACAUUUUCUAACUCUGGCCUUUCUUACUGCUCUCCUCCCUUUCCUCCUUAGUCUCUCCAAGAACCUCUCCCCACCUUAUCUAUGUUUCUGACAACUCACUAACUCACUGUGCUGAUUAUCUGAAUAAUUAUCUGAUUCUCUCUGGGUUUGUCUGUGACUGCUAGUCCUAGUAAUUUACCUUUUUGAAAUAGUUAUUUACUGAAUAGCAAUAGAAAGUAAUUGCUUGCAGCAGCCAAAGAAAAACCCUGAUCUUAGCAUUUUAAAAUAGGAUAUUUUACAGACAAAGUCUUAAAGUCUUCAGGGCUCAUAUUUCUGUAGUGGUACUCUAGUACAGGGCCUCCAUUAACGAUUAUGGCUGCUCAAGAAUUUCUAUAAUGUCAACACUGGAGUCCCUUUCCUUUCUAGUAUCGUGUUCCUGAUUUUUUGCUAACAAAUAAGGGAUACCAACCCACAAACUGAAGGUGCAGUGUCUAUAAAUGAACUUGGAUGAACCUAGCAGAGCCUGCUUUAUGUAGCUCUUCCUAAAUGAAGGCUGCUCUGACAGUGUUUAGAGAUUCCACAGUUCAUAUGAGGCUACUGUGUGCUUCUGCCAAGGGCUGUAACAUAGUUUGGGGUGGAGUGCAGCUUCCCCUUUCAGUGUGAAGGUGCCAGAAGUUUUUGAUUUAAGCAUAUGGUGUGCUUUCUUCAUUAAAACAGCAAUGUGCUUAGCUCAGAAGUACUUAAUUCUAAAACUCACUGAUACCCUUUUGAUAGCAGAGUUGGUAGAAUGCCAUUUAGGUGUUACUGGGAUUUUAGGACUCUGAGCAGCCCUAAAUAUGGGGAAUCAAUGGUUGUGAUUCCUAGGAAAUACAGCUACAGCAUUAUAUUGCUUUCAGCACAAGAUUCUCUACCAUGAUUAACUAUACUUUAAUGAAGUUGUUCUGCAUAUACUAAUGAACACUAACAAUAAUUUCUUAAUCAUUAAUUAAUUGUGCAAAUUGUUAUCUGCUUUCCUAUUUACUUAUAUAUGGAUUUUUUUGUUGUAUUGUUUUAAAAAUAUAUAUGUUUUCUAGUUCAUAAUGGUUACCUGAUUGCUAGGCUAAAAUAUAGAAAGAAGAGCUCAUAUCUAAUGUGGAUAAUAAUGAAAAUAGUAGACAAGAAUUGUUUAUCAAAGCAAAGUAUAUUAAAUAAAAAACUGCCAUUGAAGCAUCUUGGAAAUUGUCCAUAUUUACACGACACUUCAUAUAAAUAAAGUGAAGUCAUGAAAAUAAGUGAAAAGUCCUUUGUCCAAAAAAACUCAUAUAUUCAGAUGGGUAGAAAGUAUUUCAGAUAAUGGCUGCAGUUGAGAAAAUGAACUCAGGGUUCAUGAAAGCCCAACAGCUCUGAACAAAAUUUAUGAUCUGAAAGAAAGUAAUGAAGAAUCUGUGGGGAAUUAAAAAAGAAUGUAACAUUUAAUAAGGGAAAAAGGAGUAUUUGGGAUAGAUAAAUGAUUGGUGUGCAAUACUGAGUGUCUGGGAAAAGAAAAGGAACAAUAUAUGCCUGGCAAUUUGUGAGCAGAUGGUCAUGUGUGGUCAUGAUCAUCCUGAGUUUGGGUACCAAAAAGGCAAUAAAUAUGUAUGGGAGACAGAUCUGUGCUGCGAGCUCUUUGAAAGAGGGUUGUUGUCUGGUUUUGUGCAUGUCUGGGUGUGGAAUAGUGGUUGUGGACAGAGAAUUCUAGAGAGAGAAUUUAUACAGGAUCAUAGCAUGAGUCAGCUUGGAAGAGCCUUCAGAAUAUCUUCUAGUCCAACAUCCUGGUCACAUGGGAAUGAAGACGGUUGCAAACAUUAAAGUUGGGCAUAUUCAUGUUUGUGGUACAGACUAACAGAUUUUUGAAGUACUUAAUUUUCUUGGGAAUUUGUAAAUUUCAAACUGCUCUACUCCUGUAUGUGUGUAUAAAAAAACCCUACAGAAUAUAAAAUUGUAUCUAUAUUUUCACUCUUACCCUGAUGCAGGUGUAUGGGCAUUCAGAUUAUUUAGGCUACUCUUAUUCUUGCACUAAGAACCAGGUGUGAAUUUCCAUUAUCCUUACUUUUCCUUCUAAUACAUUUAAUGAAUGUACAACAAGGUUCCAGCCUUCUGAGCCAAAAGAACUGCUUUUAUGCAAUUUAAUGGGUGUAGCAAAACACUAAGGGACGGGUAAGGUGAAAAAGAAGUGCAUGAAAAAAGCACAGACAUACCUUUGCGGACAUACCUAUGGUUCUUUGAGGAACAACCAUAAAAAUAAAAUUAAUGUUCUUUCUUCUCUAUGUGAAAAUUAAAUUUCCAGUUGCUGUUACA